rnacentral:lncRNA from 1 species
AUGCCAAGUCUUCCCCGAGCGGCUGGCCCAGGGGAAGCCCCAGCAAGGGUUCCUCUCCAGCUUCUUUACCGACAACCAGAAGUGCCAGCUGAUGCUCCUGAAGACGCUGGAGACAACGCUGUGAGCAAAGAAAGACACUUUUCCUGUGAAGAUUGUAAUGGAAAUGUCAGUGGGGGUUUUGACGCUUCCGUGUCUCAGGUAGGCAUUUUUACCAAGUUGUUUUCCUUUCCCCGCUUCUCUCUCCUGGUAUUUGCUGAGUGCUUUCCACAUGCUGGCAUUCGGUUUGCUCGACUUUGUGCAGGAUUCAAAAAAUGUGUCAUGCAUGGUCCUUACUCUUACGGAGCUUGCAUCCUCACCGGGGAGAUAAGACCUGAAUGCAGACAAUGAUAAAAUUUGAGGCAGGUGAAACUCUUCUUAGGUGAGUGUGGUUACCGCAACGGGACAGUGAUGUGACUGACUGAAGGAGGCCAACAGAUUAUUCAGCUGGAGGAUGUAAAGCCCCUUCAGGGGCAAAGAAGAUGAAGAUUGUUGUCCAGAGCAGGGGCAGCAUGAGCAAAGGUGGCCUGUUGGGAAAGCGCAAGGCGUAUUUGGGGAGUGACACGCUGUCUAGUUCAGCUGCAGGGCAGGAAUGCAUGGGGAAGGAGGAGAAAUAGGAUUGGAAAGCAAGGUAAGCUGCAUGGUGGGGGGGCUUUGAAUGCCAGGAUAAAGAGUUGCCCCUUUAUAUGGUAAGAAGUGAUAUACAUCUUUGAGAAUUUUUGAUGAGGUGAGUUUUCUCAUCUAUAAAAAUCUGGGGGAGUUCCCUUCUUUGCUCAGCGGAAAUGAACCUGACUAGCAUCCAUGAGGAUGCAGGUUCAAUCCCUGGCCUUGUUCAGUGGGUUAAGGAUCUGGCAUUGCUGUGAGCUGUGGUGUAGGUUGUAGAAGCUGCUUGGAUCUGGCGUUCUGUGGUUGUGGUGUAGGCCAGCGGCUACAGCUCCAAUUCAACCCCUCCCCCGGGAACCUUCGUAUGGCAUGGGUGCGUCCCUAAAAAGACAAAAAAAAAAAAAAAAAAAAAAUUAUGGGUAAUGGUUUUAUUUGUCUUACAGAAUAGUUAGAAGAAUUGAAUUUUCUCUUGUACUUUAUCAGUAAGCACAGUACUUCUGUCAAUACAUGUUAUUAGUUGUGUAUUAGUUGACCAUAGGUAUAUGGGUUUAUUUCUGGGCUUUUUAUCCUGUUCCAUUGUUCUAUAUUUCUGUUUUUAUGCCAAUACCAUUCUGUGUUGAUGACUGUAGCUUUGUAGUAUAGUCUGAAGUCAGGGACCUUGGUUCCUCCAGCUUCAUUUUUCUUUCUCAGGAUGGCUUUGGCUACUCAGGGUCUUUUGUGUUAACAUACAAAUUAAAAUUUUUUUUUU